UAAUCGGUAAUUGUAACGAAACAAUAUGUACCGGAAGUAAAGAUAAACGAAUUAAAUAUAUAUAAUUACUGGUUGAAUCGAAAUAUUUUUAUUCCUAAAGAAGUAGUACGUAUGCGAAAAUUGCAAAUAAUAAUUUUCAAGAAUUAUAAUUCUGUUUUCUGUUCAUGAUCGAUCGAGUAAUUGAUUUGACGCGGAUUAAAUUGAAAGCCGUCACGAUGGACAGCGAACGGAAAGAGGAGAGGCGAAAGAACGUGUCCUAAUUAGUUUUAAUCUGUUGGAUUAAUUACGUUCUCGAGAGAGAAUACGAUUCAACUGGCAGAGACUCGAAGAGGAGAAAUUUAAAUUUGAAGCGGAGUUUCUCAUCUACAUAUUGCCCGCUCGUUUCGGUGGCAGAGCGUGAUAACUUCUGCUUGGCGCAUGCGGCUCACGGCCAUACCCGUGUUCGUACCUGUCAUGGAUUCCAAGGGUCGACCGCGAGCGCAGGCACGCGUGAUUACACGAUUUUACGCGUGAAAAUCAACGGGUACAUCAACAGAACCGUGGACGAAAGUAAUGCAGGAUGAUUAGCCGGUGGUAAAGUGGUGAUUUCUCGACGAUUCAAGCAUCGACCACGCGUAAACAAUCGUCUCAAGAUGAACCCUUUCAACACGGGUUACUGGUCUUCUGUCAUACGGAGCACAGAUAUCGAGGAGCAGGUGGUAGCAAUCGCGCUGGAGCUUUAAGAACCAAGGGGUGGAGGCUGGAGAACGCAUUUCCCGUCGGAUACUUGGAUCAGCCGAAGAAGGAGGAUCGUUUUCAAGGGAGCUUUCGUGCAACCUGUGCACGUUCUCCUUCUUCGUCAGCAACACCGAGAGAAGCUAAGAGGGGACACGGUGAGGAUGAGGCAAGUGGUCGUGCUGGAGCCGGCUGGCAGCGUUUUGGUGAUCAGGCAGACUUCCCUUGCCGGUAACGUCACUACCACCAACACCAGUACCAAUGCUGGAUCCAAUAACGCUCACGAGACCCAUGGGCUCGCCAAUCACGCUGCCGUGUCAACGAUUGCCUCCAAUGAUCACAAUCAGAAUCGUAUCGUCGUCGUGCGCUCAUCCUCCUCGACCUGCAUGACCACCACGCAGGCUGACAACCAUCAUUCGUCCACGAAUGGCAACAACAUCAACGUUAACGCCAACCUGAACGGUAACUCCGGGACUCUCGGUAACAGCAAGACGUCGACGAAGGUCGGUGUAGGUGGCGGAGGCUCCAAGUCGAACGAAAGAAACGAUCACCUUAGGAACGAUCACAAGAGCCAAGAUGGGAUCGGUGCUGGUGACUCGAACUCUGGAUGUCGUCCAAGGACGAGCAAGGAAGCCGUUCACGAGAACGUCUCCUUAGACAGGAAGCUCGAUGGCGCGGAUCCCAUCUCCGAUGGAGAUCCGAUCAAGCUUCCAGAAAAUUUGGAGACCUUACCGCGAGCCGAACACUUUCCAACCCAGAGGCAUCGAUGGAACACCAACGAGGAAAUCGCCGCCAUCCUGAUCAGUUUCCAAAGACACGCGGAAUGGCAAAGUCGGGAGGUGAAGGUACGACCCCGAAGUGGUUCGAUGUUACUGUACUCGAGAAAGAAAGUCCGUUACCGGCGAGACGGUUAUUGCUGGAAGAAACGAAAAGACGGCAAAACUACACGGGAGGAUCACAUGAAGCUGAAGGUCCAGGGUGUCGAGUGCAUUUACGGCUGCUACGUGCACUCGGCGAUCCUCCCGACGUUUCAUCGGCGAUGUUAUUGGCUACUCCAGAAUCCAGACGUCGUCCUCGUUCAUUACUUAAACGUUCCUUAUCCGGACGGUGAUGCUAAGCUAGCGGCGCUGCCACCGUGUCUCGCACUGCCGCCAGACAAGAAAGAGUGGACGCGAGACGAGCUGGCUUCUCAGCUUAGGCCCAUGUUCCUCGGUGGAGAUGACGACCCCAACAAUCCUCAUCUUACGCAACACUCGAAUCAUCCCGUCGACAUGAUAGUUUCUCAACUGUUGGACAGGCAGAGAGCAUCUUCCAAUUCUUCUACCACCAGCACUCAACUUGCACCUAGGAGACUAACACCGGACAAUCAGGUUUCUUCUACUACCGGAGGUCAGCAAUCGUCAGCAACAGCCUCACCGGCUCCCCGCGUAUACUCGAGACAUUCCCACACGACUCAAAGCCAACAACCGGCUCCUCUAGUUUUAAGUUUGCAACAAAUUCAAGGCGGGGGCGGUCUUCUGAUACUCAACAGCCAACCUUAUCACCAUCAACAACAACAGCAGCAGCAACAGCAGCAACAGCAACAGCAGCAGCAGCAACAACAACAGCAGCAGCAGCAACAGCAACAGCAGCAGCAACAACAGCAGCAAAGCCAACAGGUGGAAAUGCAGCAGGUUACGGAACAACAAAUCGUGCAACAAACGAGCGUGGACAGGGAACAACAGACCCAACAGGAGAUCGAAGCCCAAGAAAGCAUGGAUCGUUCCACGGUGCAAUCAUUGCCGAUCGGUGGCACGGGUUCGGAGGUCACAGACUUCGCAGAGACCUUGGAUCUAAGUCAAGAGGAUAUUCAACGAACGUUAUCCGCGAAUAUGGUGCCUCCGUCACCGUCGCCUUCCCCGGCAGAUAAUAGCAUGAUCAAUCCGAUGGAUUUCAUCGAUUCGUCGGACGAUGUUCUCGUUAACUUGGACGCGUUCGACGUGUUCGGUGAUUUGCCGGAACUUCAUGAUUUCGAGGCCGAACAGACUAAGGCUGAAGAGCGAGGCGGGUCAGAUAACGACGUGGGAUGCCAUCCUGGAACUACCGUCCAUAUUGCCGAAUAUAGUCCGGAGUGGAGUUACACCGAAGGAGGCGUAAAGGUGCUGGUCGCUGGUCCUUGGACGGGUGGUAGCAAUUCUCAAUCUUACUCGGUGUUGUUCGACGCCGAACCAGUGGAAGCGUGCUUGGUGCAACCAGGAGUAUUGCGUUGCCGUUGUCCUGCUCACGCUCCGGGAAUCGCGUCCCUUCAGGUCGCGUGCGACGGUUUUGUCGUGUCCGACAGCGUUGCCUUCGAGUAUCGUAGAGCACCAACGAGCGAACCGAGUCCAGAAAGAGCUUUGGUGGAUCGUUUGGCGGACGUGGAAUCGCGUCUGCAAGGACCUGGUCCUCCAUCUCCUGCGGCUCAUCUGGAAGAGCGAUUAGUCGCGUACUGUCAAGAUGCUGUUGUCCGUCCGUGGCGAGCCGGAGCGGAACCAUUACAAUCCGGCGGUCCAACUCUGUUACAUUUGGCCGCCGGAUUGGGCUACUCCAGGUUAGCCUGCGCCCUCCUCCAUUGGAGGGCGGAAAAUCCUAGUAGCGUGUUAGAUGCUGAAGUUGACGCACUGAGGCAGGAUAGCGCCGGUCUCACGCCACUCGCUUGGGCCUGUGCAGCGGGACACGCGGAUACUGCCAGGAUCCUUUAUAGAUGGAACGCGAUGGCGCUUCGCGUGAGGGAUUGUCAGAAUAGAAGCGCAACCGAGUUAGCGGCAGAGAACGGUCACACGGCUAUCGCGGAAGAAUUGAAUCGACUCGAAGCGAGAAGGCAAGACGAGAGGCUGUUUUUGCGACCCGCCAGCCCUAGUCCUAGGAGGCCAUCUCAAGACAGCGGUCUCGAUCUGGCGUUGUGUGGCUCACCGCUGCUGGACAACAUGGAAUUGUUGCAAGAGGAUGACUCGUCAUUAGCCCUCAGCGAGCAGGGAAUGGAGAGCGCUCCGACCCCUCAGGAGACUGUAGGGGAAGAAGACGCGAGGGUGCUGACAUUGGCUGAGCAAAUUAUAGCAGCGCUACCGGAAAGGAUCAAGAGAGCGGAAGGUGAUUCUCCGUCUUCUUCCUCGCCACCUCCAACGGCACCGCCCUUGUCUCCUCUAGAGGACGCUCUCAUGGAACAGAUGCCGCUCGAUUCUGGAGAAUUGUUCGACUCGUAUCGCGAGUGCAGCGGAGGAGCGGCAUCGGUCUCGGAUGCCGACGCGGAUGCUAGUCCUUCGAGUCCGUCUAGCAGCUGUCUCACACCGGACUCGCCAUCUCCACCGCCGACCACGGCCGACUUCUGCGAAUUCUUGCAGCUGCAGUUGCAGCUCGACAACAGUAACGGCCAUAACGGCCAAUACUAUUCGACGUCCGGUGGAGAUCGAAAGUUCGGUAACGUGAUCGGCUCUAGCAUAUGCGGAACAGUAACAGGUGGAGGUAACGGAAACGGUGACGGAAACGAAGCGGAUCUGAGCAGGCUAACUCUGUCCGAUCGAGAGCAAAGAGAACUUUAUCAUGCCGCUAGAAUGAUCCAGAAAGCCUACAGAAAUUACAAGGGACGUCAGAGACAAGAGGAAGCCGAGAGACACGCUGCUGUACUCAUCCAACAAUAUUAUCGUCGACAUAAACAGUACGCUUAUUUUAGACAAGCUACGAAGGCUGCUCUGGUGAUACAAAGUAACUAUCGGAAUUAUCGGUCGCGUCCAGGCUCGGCUAGCUCGAGACAACAGGCGGUUCAUCAGCAGGCUGCUCAUCAGGCCGCGAGGAAGAUACAACAGUUUAUGCGGCAGUCGAAAAUCAACUCUAGGCAAACGUCCAAGUCACGACAACGAAUCGUCCUAAUUUUCCAGGGGGUGGUUUACCGGAACGAGGUCGUCGUUGGAUCGCUAAAAGCUUGGAAGAUUCGCGUCUCCGUUUCAAGCCUACACUUUCAAAUGUUCGCACAGCACACGAUACCUUAAUCGUGAUCCGAGCCUCAUCCUACGCGUCGAUCGAUUUUAUUCUCUGUGAUUUUACCUUCUCCUCGGAACGUUACGUGUUCGUCGACUACGCUGUAAGUUCGUGGUCGUGAGCGUGCGUGCAUCUUGAGGUGGUGCAACAGAGGUCACAGAGGUGGUUUUAAGUUCGAAAGAAAGCUGUAUCUCGUCGAGGAUCGCGUGUAACGAAAAAUACGGAUUCCGCUUAAUGGAUCGACUAAGUCUUUUGCGUGUACUCCGUCAACGAAUUUUUGGGACAACAUAUUAUCAUACAAACGAGUAACAAAGAUGGGAAAUAAAGAUUAUUAAAAAAAAAAUACGACUCGAGAUAUUCGAGAGACAAAUAGACAAAAUUACAUAUUACAAGAACAGAAAAGAAUUUACAAGGCAGGUACUCUGUUCCGUUGUUUGGUACUACUAUCGUCGAACUUAGGACAAGUUGAAAGGGAAAUAAAUAAUACGAGUUAUCACAAAGAAAUGCAGUUUAUUUACCACACCAACAAACUGACGCAAGGCCUAUUCGCUAGGAGAAAAAAAGAGUACAAAAAACUUAAUGAUAUGAAAGGUGGGCAGUGGCGGGAACGGCUUGUCACGCGUCACGUUUCACGCGCGAGAAUCGUACCGCCUGAUAUGCCAUUCACGCGACCAUGCUCUUAAAUGGGAACGAUUCAGAAGCGUUUUUUUUCUUUUCAUUCAACUCGGCAUGGACUUUCAAGCUGCUCUCGGUAGGACGGUCAUUUCUCACUACACUUUGUUCUCUUAUGUCCCGUAGUCUAACACGGGGUGAUUUCCACCCCUCUCUCGUCUACGAAGCUACGAUACUUGAGCAAUGCGGGGACGCGUGUCGCGGCUGAUCAACGUAAAAACAAAGAAAAAAAAAA
rnacentral:misc_RNA from 1 species